rnacentral:rRNA from 1 species
AGGGUUUGAUCUGGGCUCAGAACGAACGCUGGCGGCAGGCCUAACACAUGCAAGUCGAGCGCACCUUCGGGUGAGCGGCGGACGGGUGAGUAACGCGUGGGAAUAUGCCCUUCACUACGGAAUAGCCUCGGGAAACUGAGAGUAAUACCGUAUACGCCCUUCGGGGGAAAGAUUUAUCGGUGAAGGAUUAGCCCGCGUUGGAUUAGGUAGUUGGUGGGGUAAAAGCCCACCAAGCCGACGAUCCAUAGCUGGUUUGAGAGGAUGAUCAGCCACACUGGGACUGAGACACGGCCCUGACUCCUACGGGAGGCAGCAGUGGGGAAUCUUAGACAAUGGGGGAAACCCUGAUCUAGCCAUGCCGCGUGAGUGACGAAGGCCUUAGGGUCGUAAAGCUCUUUCGCCAGGGAAGAUAAUGACGGUACCUGGUAAAGAAACCCCGGCUAACUCCGUGCCAGCAGCCGCGGUAAUACGGAGGGGGUUAGCGUUGUUCGGAAUUACUGGGCGUAAAGCGCACGUAGGCGGAUUAUUAAGUUAGGGGUGAAAUCCCAGGGCUCAACCCUGGAACUGCCUCUAAUACUGGUAGUCUUGAGUUCGAGAGAGGUGAGUGGAAUUCCGAGUGUAGAGGUGAAAUUCGUAGAUAUUCGGAGGAACACCAGUGGCGAAGGCGGCUCACUGGCUCGAUACUGACGCUGAGGUGCGAAAGCGUGGGGAGCAACAGGAUUAGAUACCCUGGUAGUCCACGCCGUAAACGAUGAAUGCCAGACGUCGGGCAGUAUACUGUUCGGUG